GAAAAUCAAUAUCUGUUGGAGAAUCUGAAGAGCCAAAUCUCCUGAGCCUAGGCCUACUGCUGUCAGCAUCUCUGAGACCUCUCUCACCUGAGAAUUACCAGGUCUGACAACACUUUCCCUCCAGCCUACAGUGAGGGAUGUCAACAAAGCUACAGAAAACUCACAUUCUGUAGACUUACAAGCUGUGCAGCUGGGCAGGAACCUUACAAUCUCCAUCCUUAGGGAAGGUUCAGAAAUACAGAUAAACGGGGUGAAAACUCAGAUAAGCUGAGCCUGAUAUAUACAAAAGCCUUCAGAUAGUCUCCUCGCAGAAGAGCCCAAUUAAGUCCACAUAAUUAGUCCACACAUCUAGAUUAGGUAUAGGCAAAACGAGCCUUUUCUCCAUCUACGAAAACAGAGCAAAACACUGAUAUAAGGAAUAUAGGAAAAGACAGCUGGUUGGGAGGGCUGGUUUCCAUAGUAACCAAACAGUGCCUGGGCCUUGCACAAACCUCAGACCACAGAAAUUCAUGCGCAGUGGUUGUAAGAAGCACAGGGUCCCUGGAAGCUCCAAAAACAAACAAAGAAGAUUUGCUUUUGAAAGGGCUGAUCCUUCAAAGAGGAUAUCCCAAGAAAAGGACAAGUUCUAAUUUAGUGUUUUGAUCCUAGAGAAUCACCUCUAUACAAAGUUAAAUUAUGUCAGAAGUUAAUGGAAGAGAAGCCCUUUCCCUAAACAGCAGUGAUUUGAUCAUCUUAGGCAAUCCGGUUUGUUUCAAAUGAAAGAAGAGAUUUAAAGAAACUGUUUCAGUUUAGAGAGCAAGUUUUCAGAAAGAAGUUUCUAGUAAACAAACUCAUCUAGAGAGAGAAAAAUGUGCAUAUUAUAUCCAUAUUAAUUCUAUUCAUGCAGCUUCUUUGUCUUUUUCUCUCUCCCUCUCACACUCUAGGAUAGAGUUGCACACAAAUAUGAGCUUUGUUUAAAAGGUGCCUUUGCAAACAAGACUCAACUGUACUUUAGAGCAGAAAUAAAAUGAUGUUGGUAUUCUGUUGUUGAAUAUGGCUUUGGACAAAACAUUCAAGCCUUCUGAGUCCCAGGGUUUUUGUGCUGAAAAAUGAUUAGAGAGCUAUUUAGUCAUCACUAUACUCUUUAGAUCUGAGCAUAAAAAAAAGAGAGAGAGACAAAGGAGGAAAGGACUAAACAACAUCCUCCAACAAAUCCUUAUUGAGAUCAAUGUCCUCAAAUGUCACAUUUGUAUUUCCCAGAAAAUGUUCCUCCCUUCCUGAUUUGUACCUAAAGGGGGGUCAUCAAAUUUCACAGAGUACUCUCUCAGGAACUGUAAUGAUGGUAAGAGAGAAAUCAAAUAGAUGUUAGAUUAAUGCCACCUCCACCAGAAAUGUAGCUCUUCAAGAUACAAAAUACCUUGUUGCUGAAUCUAAUAGAGAUACAGACUGAAAAUCUAUUCUCUGCCCAUCUGACCUUCCCAACCCAAAUUUCAGGAGAAUAAAACUGCUUUUUAAGCACUGACUUGGAUGAAGAUUUCUAAUUUAUGAUUAGGUUACUCACAUGGAAAACUAUCAACCUCUUUCAUCACAACUACCCCAUGGGGAUCCAGCUCGUCACUGAGCAUUAACCAAAGCACACAGCACAGAUUACACCAAAAUAGCAGCAUAACACCCCCCACCCAAUUUCCAGUGACAAUAUAAAUGGAAAUGCUUUUAAGCAGAUGUGUCAUUAUAAUGACUCACAUGGUAUUUAAUCUUUAGGAAAAUAAACUGAAUGUUUUUAUUGUAGCAAACUUACUGUAAAGAAAAGAAUUUUUACAUUAUAUUUAUUCCCCAAUGUAUUAACAUAUAUUACUGCUCAAAAAGGCAGCCAGAGUAACCAGACGGCACAAUUUGAAUUUAUCCUUCUAUUCGAAAUGCUGACUUGGAUUGCCUUCCCCCACCCCCACUCCCUCCAAAAUUGCACAUUAGCCAGUAUAUAAACAGGUAGGUUAUUUAUAUAUAUGUGUACUCUGUUUUAAGAUGAAAAGAACAAUUCUUCACUUUUUAUUAGCUGAACCAUAUGAAAUUGCCAUUUGAUAGGCCAAAAAAUGCUCAAAUAUCACCAACUUCAUAAAAUUCAACCUAAUACAAAGACUAGGGGGGCAAGGUAGGGGAAAGGGAAAAACAGUUUUGGAUAUAACUAUUUGGAAGGAGAGUAGACAUGAAGAGGGCAAACCCUAGCUUUUCAUUAUCUACAAUCAAUAGUUUUUUUUUUCUUUUUAAAAAAAGAAAAAAAACCUUUCAAUCUUCAAUACUCUUUAAAAGCCCACUUCUUAGCUACUGGCCAAUCCACACCAAUUAUUUAAAUUCACUUGGUACACACCUUUGUCCACUGGGUAAAUUAUAUUCAUUAUGCCCACUGCUGCAGCACGCAUAAACCAACACCCCUGCGCAUAUAAAAGCAGGCAAGUUUAGCUACUGUGUUGCAAGAGAAACCAGGACCUUGUUAAAUAGUUCUCUCCAUUACCGUUUAUUCUCUCAAGGGAAGCUAAAAAAACAAAAAAACAAAAAAAUUGGUCUGGCCACCUCAUGAAUCCAACAAGCAUUAGUGUGGCAUUUCAGUGGAGAAGGAAACUUGGGGGGAAAAAAGUGUUUAGAAAGGGUAAAACUAGGACACAGAAAACAUUGGGAAUUACCACGACCCCCAAGUGCUUCCGGCUCCAGGAAAUAACCAUUCAUGUGUUUGCUGGAGGUCACGCAAUUUUCCCCUAUUACCUGGUGCAAAAUGACUCAUCACUUCCCAAAAGCUUCUUUUCAAACCACGAUUUUCCCAUUUAUUUUGGUCCAAUGCAGUCCCAUUCUUUAUGGCCUAUAGUCUCACUCCCAACUACCCCCCUGGGGGGUAAAAAAAAAAAAAAAAAGGUAAGAAAGAUCUUCAGGAGAUGGUGAGUUUUAUUUUGUCUUGUCUGGAUAGAGGUUUUGAUUUGCUCUCGAAUGUUCCAGGGUGGAGAGAAACUAGGAGAAAAGCACAGGAUGUAGAGGUCUAUUCGGCAUAAUCUUCUCCCUCAUUUUCAUCUUCACCAUCAAGAGAGAGCAGCAUAGUUGCUUGCAGAACUGAACUUGGAAGCUGGAUUUUCCUCAGGUUUCUUUGGCUCAGGUGCAGAUCUGGAGUCUUGAUCCUUUUUGCCAUCUUUCCUAUCUGACUCCUUCCAGUGGUCUUUGUUCCCUCCGUCUCCUGGACCACGGCUAGAGUUCCCAGUUUGGCCUUUUGGGACAUUCAUCCCAUCUACUUUAUUUUCAUCUUCCUUCCUCAGAUGGUUGAGCUGGAGCUACUUUUCCCCCGUUCCUGAGUUUCUUCACUUCGCCAGCUUGGGUGUCUCUCCCGAGGCCGUCGUUCUAGUUUUGGCUCACUCAGCUGACGCUGCAACUUCUCUUGUUCCUUCUGUAGCCGUUCUUCUACUUCUCUUUCUCUAGCAGCUGUGUCAACAGGCUUUGCCCCUCCAAAGAUAGAAGCAGCUCGAGUGGACUGGGAGGUACUAGCAGAGGAAUCAUCUUGCUUAAGAGUACUCCAAGGCUUUAGAUUCAGUUUGGGUCUUUGGGGGGGACGUCUAUCAUCACACCUAUAAUCAUCCCGAGAGUAAUCAUCUCUGGAGCUCCACGACCGAUCAUCCCGUCUGUCAUAUCAGUCUUCAUAGCGGUCCCCGCCUCCUCUGUAGUCAUCAUCCCUGCGAUACCCGCUGCCAAAUGCUCUUCUGCCACUGCCUAUCCGGGAAUCAUAGCCUCUAUCAUAGUCUCUGCUGCCUUGAAACGCACUGCACUGAUAUUUAAUCCUCGAAAGAAUUCCUUAAUUGACUCUUCUGUAACAUCAUAGGGUAGGUUUCCUAGAAAAGCAGUGUAGGGUGGCGAUUUGGGAAGACGGCUCCGGUCGAUAUUGGGUUCCCGAGCAGCCCGUGGAGCAGUGGGAAGGAUGGAACGGUCAAUUGGAGGCACCCUAUACACAUCGUCAUUGUUACUGUGCCAAGUUGUCGAAACAUCUCCUUCCAGGUCAUCGUUUCAUCAGCCCAGCUGACUGGUUUGGAAACAUAGGUGCUUCCUCCACCAGUACCCCCAUCCUCAGCCAGAAAGUCUGUUAGGGAGAUAGUCUUCCCCUUCUUAUUCUUCUUUUUUGCUGAGGCCGCCAUGUUGGGA
rnacentral:lncRNA from 1 species